CCGCGUGAGUGAUGAAGGCCUAUGGGUUGUAAGCUUCUUUUCUCAGAGAAGAAUUUUAGCGGUUUUUAAGGAAUAAGCAUCGGCUAACUCUGUGCCAGCAGCCCCGGUAAGAGAGAGGAUGCAAGCGUUAUCCGGAUUAAUUGGGCGUAAAGCGUCUGUAGGUGGUUUAUCAAGUCUUUUGUCAAAUAUCGGGGCCUAACCCUGGGCAGGCAGAUAAAACUAAUAUACUUGAUUUCAGUAGGGGCAGAGGGAAUUCCCGGUGGAGCGGUGAAAUGCGUAAAGAUCGGGAGGAACCCCAAAGGCGAAGGCACUCUGCUGGGCCGUAACUGACACUGAGAGACGAAAGCGAGGGUAGCAAAUGGGAUUAUAUACCCCAGUACUCCUCGCCGUAAACG
rnacentral:rRNA from 1 species